rnacentral:rRNA from 1 species
GGUUAAGUGACUAAGCGUACAUGGUGGAUGCCUUGGCAGUCAGAGGCGAUGAAGGACGUACUAACCUGCGAUAAGCCGUGAGCAGUCGGUAAGAGACAUUACGACUCACGGAUUUCCGAAUGGGGAAACCCACCUAGCAUAAGCUGGGUAUCGCUGCGUGAAUACAUAGCGUAGCGAGGCGAACCGGGAGAACUGAAACAUCUAAGUACCCCGAGGAAAAGAAAUCAACCGAGAUUCCCUCAGUAGCGGCGAGCGAACGGGGAUUAGCCCUUAAGCAUCUUGGAAGUUAGUGGAACGGUCCUGGAAAGGCCGGCGAUACAGGGUGAUAGCCCCGUACACGAAAACAACCUUGAUGUGAAAUCGAGUAGGGCGGGACACGUGACAUCCUGUCUGAAUAUGGGGGGACCAU